CCCUCCCUCCACAUAAUGUUAUCAUCUUUCUAUAAGAUUUCCUACUAUAAUACUUCUUAUAGGUAGUUGCCCUAUCAAAUCUAUACUAUAUAUAAAAAGAGAGUUCAGAGCCUCCCCAUAGUAACACGUGUCAAUUCUUUGGAGGGGCACUAAACUCUCCUAUGUAAGAUGAGUGUAGCAAAAAAAGAAAGAAGGUAUAUUGCCUAUUGCCUAUUUAAUUUGCCUAUCUUACAAUGUACAGGGGGA
rnacentral:lncRNA from 1 species